CACAGUACUGAGGCUCGCCCCCGCGAAGCUAACGGGAGCUGAUGAAACAUUGUCAGUGUUUCUGCAGAAUCCUUAUCAAUGGCGUUCGAUCUCAUGUUGACAGGUUAGCUGUCUCCGCUUCCACAGCACUGUCUGACCGCCAUUCUCCAUCACAGCAGAUUGACUCGGGUGACUGUCUCCGUGGUUACAGGUCAGCUUUCCAUCUCUGUAUCCUUGCCUCUGCUGCUUGCACAUUGCCAGUCCAGCACGUGACAAGGCAAAAAUGGGGAUGCUAAGACUAAAGACAGUGAGUUAAGACUGACUACGUGCCGCUUGAACAGGCCUGCCUCUUGGAGACAAUUCAAAUGGAAAAG
rnacentral:lncRNA from 1 species